AGAACGAACGCUGGCGGCAUGCCUAAUACAUGCAAGUCGAACGAACUCUUCGGAGUUAGGGGCGCACGGGUGCGUAACGCGUGGGAAUCUGCCCUUGGGUUCGGAAUAACAGUUGGAAACGACUGCUAAUACCGGAUGAUGACGAAAGUCCAAAGAUUUAUCGCCCAGGGAUGAGCCCGCGUAGGAUUAGCUAGUUGGUGAGGUAAAGGCUCACCAAGGCGACGAUCCUUAGCUGGUCUGAGAGGAUGAUCAGCCACACUGGACUGAGACACGGCCAG
rnacentral:rRNA from 1 species